ACGUAGGGUGCGAGCGUUAAUCGGAAUUACUGGGCGUAAAGCGUGCGCAGGCGGUUCGCUGUGUCCUGUGUGAAAUCCCCGGGCUCAACCUGGGGACUGCAUCUGUGACUGCAUAGCUAGAGUACGGUAGAGGGGGAUGGAAUUCCGCGUGUAGCAGUGAAAUGCGUAGAUAUGCGGAGGAACACCGAUGGUGAAGGCAAUCCCCUGGACCUGUACUGACGCUCAUGCACGAAAGCGUGGGGAGCAAACAGGA
rnacentral:rRNA from 1 species